GAGAUUUCGGCGAUUGUGUUUAUGUUUCUGGUGUUAGGACAUGUGCACUUUUGUUUCUUUGAGUGUUAUUAGGUUUUUCCGGUGACUGGCAUUUUCGUUCGGUGACGGAUGCGCGGCCUGCCGGGCUGAUUGGAGGUAGAUGGACGUGGUAACGUAUGGAAGUUGCAGGAGGCCUAAUGUGAAGUUGUUUGGAAGGCGUAUGCUACGUUAUGUAUGAAGUGGUGACUGAUGGUAGCUUUGGGAAAGUUGUGUGGGGUGUACUGAUCUGUGUUGCGACCCUUUUCGUUCAGGUUGUCCCCUCUGACCGCCGUGGUCCCAACAUUUCCCUGCAAUCGACGUAGCCAACCCCCGCCGGAGGCCGACCAGGCCCCCGUUUGGUUUCGCUCUAUGGACCUUUUCGUUGUCCGUGGUGGUGUUCGCUCCGCUUUGGAAGUGUUGAGCAUGUCUACACGGGUCAAGAAAAUGUCCGGAAGUGGGGAGUAUCCAGUGUUAGCAGCGAGUGAAGAACAAAGAAGACUACAGACCUGGGGUUGAGGAAGAGACUUUGCUAACAGCUACGUUUGAAUUAAUGAAGCUACAACUAGACAUUCGACUGGACAUUGGAUUUGGGAAGAUACCAGUGCGAAUCAAGACAACGGCUGUUUAGAUGUAUUGUUCCCGCAAGAAAAGAGACAGUUCGGCUUCUCUUUGGCCUUGCCGUGAGCGAUACGGCGGGAGCACGCAGGAACGCUGAACCGCCUGAGGGAGGGGUGCGGACGGACCAGAGGGAGCAUCGACCGCUCAUGGCCUGAACUCCAGGGACCACCUGUCCUAUUUAGCAUGCCAGUUUUGGAGCAGCUGAUUCAAGUUUUAGCCUUUUUAUGUGAUGGUAAAAGGUAAGGCCAUAAUAAAGCUUUCCGCAUUCGGACAUUGCAUUUUUGUUCAUUUUAUUUACAUGAAUGGUUUUGCAAGGAGCUCAAUAACACUCAAGCUAAUAUUGUAUAAACACUAAUAAAGCAGUAGAACAUUUGAGGUGUUGGUACUCCGCUUUGGUACACUCCUUCCCAAGACACUGUAAUUAUUGCUAUGGUGGGUUUGAAUGAAUGCCAGUACAACUAAAGCUCCUUCAUGACCAGAGUCUGCUGCUGAUCUAAGUGUUUUUGUACAGUAAGACAGUUUUAUGUAGAUGAAAAUAAAGUAAUGUGAGGUAAUGAUAUAGGACAUCUUGUUUUGAAGUCCUUCCUGCUUCAUGUAUAAAAAGAAUCACAAAACAAAAUGCUGUUAAGAAGCCACUAAAACAUCUUAGACUGGAACCUAUAAAAUUCUGCUAUCAUCAUUUACUAGGUAAACAACAUGGUGAGCUUAUUCACCUUCCGACUCCUGGGUCUGGACAAAGCACUGCGAGAGCAUGUGCUGCACCUUGUGGCAUCACAUAGUAAGUGUUGCUAAUGUGACUAGAACAGGUUAUUUACAUUUGUCAUGACCAGAGAUGGAGUCAAAAUAGGCUCUAUUCUGCCAAUGUUUGAUAACAUCAGAAUCAGCAUUUUUCUCUCCCACUCUGUGCCCUAAGACUAUACCUCAGGUCUACCUAGCCUGACAAGGAUUGACUGUCCCCAGAACCUAACCCAGCUAAUGUUCCUGCUGUUCUGUCUCCGGCCAUGGAACCACCUAAUCCUGGCCGGUAUCCCCAAAGCAUCUCAGAGUCCGAGUGCUGUUCUAGGAUCCCAU
ensembl:lncRNA